AUUGAACGCUGGCGGCAGGCCUAACACAUGCAAGUCGAGCGGAUGAGAGGAGCUUGCUCUUUGAUUCAGCGGCGGACGGGUGAGUAAUGCCUAGGAAUCUGCCUGGUAGUGGGGGACAACGUUUCGAAAGGAACGCUAAUACCGCAUACGUCCUACGGGAGAAAGUGGGGGAUCUUCGGACCUCACGCUAUCGGAUGAGCCUAGGUCGGAUUAGCUAGUUGGUGAGGUAAUGGCUCACCAAGGCGACGAUCCGUAACUGGUCUGAGAGGAUGAUCAGUCACACUGGAACUGAGACACGGUCCAGACUCCUACGGGAGGCAGCAGUGGGGAAUAUUGGACAAUGGGCGCAAGCCUGAUCCAGCCAUGCCGCGUGUGUGAAGAAGGUCUUCGGAUUGUAAAGCACUUUAAGUUGGGAGGAAGGUCAGUAGCUUAAUACGUUGCUGAUUUGACGUUACCGACAGAAUAAGCACCGGCUAACUCUGUGCCAGCCGCCGCAGUAAAAC
rnacentral:rRNA from 1 species